rnacentral:lncRNA from 1 species
AUGUUUGCACUUCAUCCAGCACCAGGGAUGUUCAGCCAUCCAGCUCUGCUUUCAUCAGCCUCCAGGUCCCAUUUUCUCCCUGCAACCCAGCUGUGCUUGGCACCAAGAGAUCAUUUCCAGGUUCUUCAUGCAUUAAAAAAGGAAUGGCCCAAAGAAACAAGGAGAAGUAGUGAAGGUCGCAUUGUGAUGAUGGCGCUUUAUCCAGCACUAACCUGUGCUCUGCACCUCAGAGGUUUCCUGAGAGAUGGAGAGACAAUUGCCAGUUUCCAGCCACACACAUCCUGGAGCUGCCAGCCUCAUGAAGACUACUGUGACUGUAGAUGGGAAGAGUCAGAUGCCUCCACGGCCUCCUCCAUGGAGAUGAGAAAACAGAAGAAAGGCUGGCAAAGCAGAAACAGCUCAUCAGAUGCUCUGAACUUCCCUUGGCUCCCUUCUCUUCACAUCUCUCACAAACCUCAAGCAUGAAGAUAUAUGAAAGCUCCACGUGCUCAGUUCAGCUGUUGUACUUCUUGCUGUGCCAACAUUUCAUGCCCCAGCUCUUCCCCAGGGCUAUCAUAAAAGAGUGGAAAACCUAACUCACGAGACAAUACUGUUACCAUUAUCUAACUGGACCAUGCUAAAAAACCCUCCAGCCAGAGGAAAACCCUUUUGUAUCAUGAGCAGGACAAACACAAGUGCUGACUGUCCCAGCACACUGGGAGGAGAGACUCCUGGCAAGAUGUGUUUCUCAGGAUCCAGAAAAACUAGGAUCAGGUUUCCCUUGGCUGUAAGCCCACUCUUGGGUAUCCCCUGCUCUGCAAAUUCCUUUGUGGCAUCACCUCCAUCUUCUUCCCAGUCCUGACCUGGGAGGUCUGUUUCACCAUUCCUCCUUUCCCAAACAUGAGAAAAACCCUAAUUUAACUUUUCUUUAACCUGCCCUAGUCCUGUGUACUCCCCACACCCUCCCCCUCCCCAAACACAUUUUAGAACCAAGAAAUUCCUCUCAAACAGGAGGUGCUUGAGGACAACAGGAGUUUGAAAAGAAGGGCCUUGCCUUGUUAACUAGAGGUGCCUGCCAGCCAACAUCCCAGCCCCUGAAC